GUACUUGAUUUCGUUGGUCAACAACUUUGGCCGUAAUUUUAGGCAGCUUUUUUAUUUAAUGUAGUACCUUUAUCUACUCUUCUUUUUUAUUUAAAACAUCCAGGUUAGUCUAAAUUUAAUUUGUUUGUUUGGUCCAAACUCUUACUCAUCAGGGUAAUAAACAAGUAACAAUUAAACUGAUAAUGUCCCUACCAACCCUGAGCCAGUUGACAAAGAACUGAGUCUGUAUUUUGGGAGAACUAACUUGUAUGCCAAGGGUAAACUGUCACGGUAGCG
rnacentral:lncRNA from 1 species